rnacentral:rRNA from 1 species
GAGUUUGAUCGUGGCUCAGGAUGAACGCCGGCGGUGUGCCUAAUACAUGCAAGUCGUACGCACUGGCCCAACUGAUUGAUGGUGCUUGCACCUGAUUGACGAUGGAUCACCAGUGAGUGGCGGACGGGUGAGUAACACGUAGGUAACCUGCCCCGGAGCGGGGAUAACAUUUGGAAACAGAUGCUAAUACCGCAUAACAACAAAGGCCACAUGGCUUUUGUUUGAAAGAUGGCUUUGGCCAUCACUCUGGGAUGGACCUGCGGUGCAUUAGCUAGUUGGUAAGGUAACGGCUUACCAAGGCGAUGAUGCAUAGCCGAGUUGAGAGACUGAUCGGCCACAAGUGGAACUGAGGCACGGUCCAUACU